AUGGAUCACAUCUCAACGGCAAUUCCAGACGUGUUAUGCAUAUUAAGAACAAAUUACGAUAUUGGGGAAAUUAUUAAAGGGAAGAUGCCGGUGGUUGAUCUCCCUGUUGAACCUACCAUUGUUAGAAAGAAACAAUUACCCUGGCCUAAACCGCCAGCUAGAUGGGUUGCUCUAUCAACUGAUGGCUCCUAUGUCAAGAAAAUUGGGUUGGCAGGUACGGAUAUGGUUCAUAGAGACUCGGUAGGGACAGAUAUUAUCUCGGCCUACAGAUAUCUCUUCCAUUGCAAAGAUGCUCUAGAAUCCGAAAUCAGCGCCAUGUUGGAACUUGGAAAGUAUCUCAAUCAGUUUGCAGAGGACGGGGCUUCCUAUUAUUAUUCAAUCUGA
rnacentral:rRNA from 1 species